rnacentral:rRNA from 1 species
UACGUAGGGUGCAAGCGUUGUCCGGAAUUAUUGGGCGUAAAGAGCUUGUAGGCGGUCUGUCGCGUCGGCUGUGAAAACUCGGGGCUCAACUCCGAGCCUGCAGUCGAUACGGGCAGACUAGAGUGCUGUAGGGGAGACUGGAAUUCCUGGUGUAGCGGUGAAAUGCGCAGAUAUCAGGAGGAACACCGGUGGCGAAGGCGGGGCUCUGGGCAGUAACUGACGCUGAGGAGCGAAAGCGUGGGGAGCGAACAGG